UAUUUUUUAUAUCCGUGAAAUUUUCUUUGUUGCGAAACGCACCACCAGGUAAAUCAUAAAAUCUAUACAAGAGAGAAAAUGUGAGGACAUCUAAUUUUAUUAGCCAUUUGAAGCUGACGCUACUUAAAAGUAGUUUUUUUCCGUGAAAUUUUUCGCCACUCGUUCACUUGCACUCAUAACAAGUUCGUAUUUUGACGGUUAUCUCUGGAAUUUUUUUUUUUUCGCCGAAAAUAAUGAGAAAAGCAAUUUUUAGGCUCUACAAAUUAGUUGAGAUAGUGAAUUCCGAAGCGCUAUCACGUGAAAAUUAAAUUUCAAUUUGUUGCGCCUCAAGCAUGACGGAAAACAUCAUCAACAAUUCAGUUAAUACUAUUGUGUGUGCAUGUAACAGUAUGUGCUAAAUACAAUUCAUUGAAACCUCAA